rnacentral:rRNA from 1 species
ACUAGACCGGUCCUAAGGUAGCGAAAUUCCUUGUCGGGUAAGUUCCGACCCGCACGAAAGGCGUAACGAUUUGGGCACUGUCUCAACAACAGACUCGGUGAAAUUGUAAUUCCGGUGAAGAUGCCGGAUACCUGCGACAGGACGGAAAGACCCCAUGGAGCUUUACUGUAGCUUGACAUUGGGUCUUGGUACUACAUGUACAGGAUAGGUGGGAGGCUUUGAAACCAGGACGCCAGUUUUGGCGGAGCCAUCCUUGGGAUACCACCCUUGUAGUACUGGGACUCUAACCAUAGGCCAUGAAUCUGGUCUUGGGACACUGUCAGGUGGGCAGUUUGACUGGGGCGGUCGCCUCCCAAAAGG